rnacentral:rRNA from 1 species
AGAGUUUGAUCCUGGCUCAGGAUGAACGCUAGCGGCAGGCUUAACACAUGCAAGUCGAGGGGUAACAUUGGUGCUUGCACCAGAUGACGACCGGCGGACGGGUGAGUAACGCGUAUGCAAUCUACCUCUAACAGAGGGAUAGCCCGAAGAAAUUCGGAUUAAUACCUCAUAAUACUAUCAGGAGGCAUCUUUUGAUAGUAAAAGCUUCGGUGGUUAGAGAUGAGCAUGCGUAUCAUUAGUUAGUUGGUGAGGUAAAGGCUCACCAAGGCGACGAUGAUUAUGGGGUCUAAAAGGAUGGUCCCACACACUGGUACUGAGACACGGACCAGACUCCUACGGGAGGCAGCAGUGAGGAAUAUUGGUCAAUGGGGGGAACCCUGAACCAGCCAUGCCGCGUGCAGGAAGACAGCCUUAUGGGUUGUAAACUGCUUUUCUGAUAGAGUAACGGUAUCCAUGCGUGGAUAUAUGCAAGUAUAUCAGGAAUAAGCAUCGGCUAACUCCGUGCCAGCAGCCGCGGUAAUACGGAGGAUGCGAGCGUUAUCCGGAUUUAUUAGGUUUAAAGGGUGCGUAGGCGGGAGAAUAAGUCAGUGGUGAAAACCUACAGCUUAACUGUGGACUUGCCAUUGAUACUGUUUUUCUUGAGUACAGAAGAGGUAGGCGGAAUGUGUAGUGUAGCGGUGAAAUGCAUAGAUAUUACACAGAACACCGAUUGCGAAGGCAGCCUACUAUACUGUUACUGACGCUGAUGCACGAAAGCGUGGGUAGCGAACAGGAUUAGAUACCCUGGUAGUCCACGCCGUAAACGAUGCUCACUCGCUGUUGGCGUUAUAAAGUCAGCGGCUUAGGGAAACCAUUAAGUGAGCCACCUGGGGAGUACGUUGGCAACAAUGAAACUCAAAGGAAUUGACGGGGGCCCGCACAAGCGGAGGAACAUGUGGUUUAAUUCGAUGAUACGCGAGGAGGUUGUCGUCAGCUCGUGCCGUGAGGUGUCGGGUUAAGUCCCAUAACGAGCGCAACCCCUAUUGCUAGUUGCCAUCGCGUAAAGGCGGGGACUCUAGUGAGACUGCCACCGUAAGGUGUGAGGAAGGUGGGGAUGACGUCAAAUCAGCACGGCCCUUAUGUCCGGGGCUACACACGUGUUACAAUGGUCGGCACAAAGGGCAGCUACCCGGUGACGGGGUGCCAAUCUCAAAAUCCGGUCAUAGUUCGGAUCGAAGUCUGCAACUCGACUUCGUGAAGUUGGAUUCGCUAGUAAUCGCACAUCAGCCAUGGUGCGGUGAAUACGUUCCCGGGCCUUGUACACACCGCCCGUCAAACCAUGGAAGCCGGGGGUACCUGAAGUCCGUUACCUAAAGGAGCGGCCUAGGGUAAAUCUGGUGACUGGGGUUAAGUCGUAACAAGGUAGCCGUACCGGAAGGUGUGGCUG